GUAGAUAGGCUGGAUGUAGAAGUGCGGCAACGCAUGCAGCUGACCAGUACUAAUCGGUCGAGGGCUUGAUUUAUUGUU
rnacentral:rRNA from 1 species